AUCUGGAUAAGACAUUCUGUGGCAGGUCUAUAAAGUUUUAUGGUUCUGGUGAAACAAUUUAUUUUUCCUUUUUGGCCUAUUGUUUCCUGGUGUUGUUUCACUUAUUUGUUGCUAUCAAAUGUUUUCAGUAGCUGAUGCAGAGUUGUAAAUUCCUCUCAUUUUCUUGGUGGCUCAUACAUGAGGUGCCCCCUCGGGUAGAGGUGGAUCCCCGAGUUAAAUUCGAUGAGUUCGACCUUUAAAUUUACUGUCUUUGUCAUGUAAUAUUACUUCUGAGAAUUGUUUGAAAGAAGCCAUGAAUGAAUGA